UAGAAACAUUAUAAAUGAAAAGUCAUGGGGAAUACUGAGCUUGGUCAUUCCAUGAAAUAUAAGAGAUCUAGAGAGUAGAGGGAGUUGCCAAUGACUCUAUAGGAGAGGAAGAGGUCAGGGCAGGAUCAUAUCAGGUGUUUCCAGUGAGGUCUAACUGAGGAGGUAAGCUACACCCUGAAUGUAGGUAGCACCAUGCUAUGGUCAACAAGAAAGGGCAAAGAAGAAAGCCUGCUGACAUGACCACUGUCAUUGCCCACCCUCUGCUUCCUGAUUGAUGCCAUGGAUCAGACUGGUCCUGCCACCAUGCAUUCCCAACCAGGGGUUUCCUUUCUGCAUGCCUAUUUCCAGUCCUUCCCAGCUACUGUUGCAGAAGUUUCGAUGCGGAUUCCAGAAGGUCAAGGGUAUUGAAAGUGUCAGCGCAUACCUCGCGCUACCCCCACGUCAGUCCCUCGAGAAUAUUCUAUUUUACAAAGCAUUUUUUUUUCAAAAAACAAACCUACACACUUCUGGACCAAUUCAUCUGCAAUUUGCUGUACUUCAUAGAGCUCAAA